AAGCACAUUUGCUGGAAACAGACCGGCCCGCGAAGAGGACUAUAAUAAGGAGAUAAUGAACAACUUUCAAGUAUAAAAAUAUAUAUAAAGAUCACAUGCUGUGGAGUCACAGGAAGAGAAAUACAGAUUCGAGGAGAAAAAGAAACAGAAUUCUCAGGACCUACAAACAAAAAUAUUUGUACUACUUGAACGUUAUUGAUGCAGGCGAUUGGUAGAGGAACCUGCAAGUGAAAAGAUUGUGAGGCCAAGAGCAUGCAAAAUAUGUUCAAGGAACAGCAAGGAGUCUGGCAUGGCUGGAGCAGAGAGAAGCACUGUUAGAGAGCAGCUGAAGAUGGAGGGAGCCAGAGGUCAGACCACAAAGCUUUGCAGAUCAUGUUUAUAUGAGCUUGAGGGUGACUUUAGCUUGGUUCAUCUGAGAAGGAUAUUUGAGCUGGAUACCAAAGCUGUGAUCUGAAGGACAAGAAGAACUUACCCAGACAUUGAGGAGAAGUCAUCGUGCUGUAUGUAAAGACACUAAUGAGAGCUGAAGUCUGAAGGACACUUCAGACGAACUGCAUACUUGAAUUUGCAGCACAGCAAGGAAUAGGCCUCCUUAAGGCACCUUUGUGGAAGAAAAGCUUCUUGCCUGGCCUGUCCAUCCCCUGAUCCAGCAUCGCAGCUGCUCCAGACACUUGGAUCACAAGCACAACUUGGUGGCAUCCUGACUGCUUCAGAGAAGCACCAUCAUCACCUUUGAGAUGGAGUCUUAGAAGGCUUUCUUCCAGCCAGUUGUAAGCAGUAUCUACAGAGGAGGAAGGCCCACUAGAAGGAUGUUGGAAUGGAGACCUAGUACCCAACAGAGUUCCAGAGACUUCCCUGGGGGCACAGUGGUUAAGAAUCCGCCUGGCAAUUCAGGGGACACGGGUUCGAGGCCUGGUCCGGGAAGAUCCCACAUGCCCCAGAGCAACUAAGCCUGUGCGCCACAACUACUGAGCCUGUGCUCUAGAGCCCAUGAGCCACAACUGCUGAGCCCACAUGCCACAACUACUG